rnacentral:misc_RNA from 1 species
GAUGAAGAACGUAGUGAAAUGCGAUAAGUAAUGUGAAUUGCAGAAUUCAGUGAAUCAUCGAAUCUUUGAACGCACAUUGCGCCCAUUAGUAUUCUAGUGGGCAUGCCUGUUCGAGCGUCAUUAAGUCCACUUAAGCCCUGCUUAGUGUUGGGAGACUGCUCCAGCGGUGCUACCCUGUAGCUACCCUGCAGCUCCUCAAAGACAGCGGCGGAGUUGUGGUAUCCUCUGAGCUUAGUAACUUGUUCUAGCUUUCGAGUACACCACUUCCCCUGCCGUAAAACCCUUAAUUUUUAAUGGUUGACCUCGGAUCAGGUAGGAAUACCCGCUGUACUUAAGCAUAUCAAUAAGCGGAGGA